rnacentral:piRNA from 1 species
GACCUCAAGGGAAUGUAGAGAAGCCUCAGG